UAAUUUCACUUUGGCAAACGUCAUUGGAUGUUAUUAUUGACAUGUUGUUUCCUUUGUGGUCGUUUCUGAAAAGUGAAGCAGACUAGGUUUUUCCGGGAAAACACUCAAUACCACGAAAUGGAAGAGUCUAUAUUGUAGUACCAAGGAAACCUCGGGGUAUCAGUCGAUGGAAACAUGAAUAAAUCUGUGAUAAUUUGCAUUUAGUCAUUUAGUUUGGAGUUCUUAUUAGACCAUGGCUGUCGCAACGACGACAACCACUACUGUUCAACACCAAAAUAAAACUCAAACAUUCAGAACAACCCAGUCUCAUCACCACAAGAGGAAAAGAAGAAGGAAUACCAGUGAAGUCAGCAGUUGUUUGAAAUAUCUGAUUUUCACAUUCAAUGUUGUUUUAUGGUUUUUCGGUCUUCUUGUUCUUGCUGUUGGUUUAUGGGCUUGGACUGAAAAGGACACUUUCAAUAAUUUAGGAAAAGUGGCCAACAUUUAUCUUGAUCCAGCCUUCGUUCUGAUAUGUAUAGGAGCCCUCACUUUCCUAAUCGGGUUCACCGGUUGUGUUGGAGCCUUACGGGAGAAUACAUGUCUUCUUGGAAUGUAUGCUCUUAUUCUGUCCAUUCUACUCCUCUUUGAGAUGAGUGCUGGAAUUCUAGGAUUCAUAUUCAAAGAUUGGAUAAAAUCUCAAGCAUCAACGGGCUUCCAAACUUUUAUUGUACACUAUAGAGAUGAUCCAGACCAACAGAAUCUCAUAGAUUGGAUACAGGAGGAAUGGUUGCACUGCUGUGGAGUAGAUGGUCCAAAGGACUGGGACUACAACCAAUAUUUCAACUGUUCCUCUAGUGAUGUUGGAAGUAGGGAAGCUUGUGGUGUACCCUUUUCUUGUUGUAAACGUAAACCCAAUGAAGCAAUAAAAAACAAACAAUGUGGAUAUGAUGUGAGGAAACCAGGAUUUAAUCUCAAUGCUUCUCUUGUCAUAAAUGAAAGAGGUUGUUUAGAAGCAAUUGAGGAGUGGAUGGAAAGAAACAUGAUUCCAAUAGCUACAUAUAUUUUUGUUUACUUUUUCUUCCAUGGUGGCAGGGUUGACCAUUUAUAGCAACAUAACAUAAUGUAAUUGAAAGUGCAAUAUAUCAAAUGACCGCCACGUCUUGAAAGAAUAAGCUCGCUUAUUUUUCAAAUCAAUUGUACAUUGGUAGAAAAUUGUCUUAUACAUUGAUAUUGGGCAUAUGCUUUGCUCAAAAUCUCAGAGCUGACAUUUUUGCGCAGAUAUCCAAAUGGAGACACUGACAUACAAGAACUCCCACAGCAGUCUAAUUCAAUAAAUACACUGCGUGGGAGGCUCUUUUUAUUUCGUUCCGAUUAUUUCAAAUACCUUUAGUACAGAAAAGACGAUAAUGUUCAAAGAUAUUUUACCUCACAAUUCAUUUUCCAAGAUGUAAAGUUUUCUUGGAAGCAGAAGUGAUCAAUGAAUGUUAACUGAUUGAGUUGAUGACGUAUUAAGCAAGUUAUUUUUCAACAUUACAAUAUUUUAA